rnacentral:tRNA from 1 species
GAGGAUGUAGCUCAGUUGGUAGCGUGCUUGCCUAGCAUGCAGGGUGCCCUGGGUUCCAUCCCCAGCACUUCA